CAGCAGCCGCGGUAAGACGAACCGUGCGAACGUUAUUCGGAAUCACUGGGCUUAAAGCGCGUGUAGGCGGGAGGGCACGUCCGUCGCUGAAAUCCCCCGGCUCAACCGGGGAACGGGCGCGGAUACGACUCUUCUGGAGGAACGUAGGGGGACCUGGAACUUCCGGUGGAGCGGUGAAAUGCGUUGAGAUCGGAAGGAACGCCCGUGGCGAAAGCGAGGUCCUGGACGUUUACUGACGCUGAGACGCGAAAGCCAGGGGAGCGAACGGGAUUAGAUACCCGUGUAGUCCCUGUCUCUUAUA
rnacentral:rRNA from 1 species